AGUUUCGGUGUCGAAUUCACUUUGUCAUAUACGUUUACUUGUUAUGCGGGGAACACUGGGCUCACUAUAAAUACGAGAACACCUCCUCAUCCAAGUCAUUAGCGACAAGCAUUCGACAACUCCACUUCAAGGAAAACUAAGAUAAUCAUCAUGAAAACUUCAACCGUUGAAGAUGAUGAGAAGUUAAAACAAUUCGAUGGCAUCACGUGACUGUAUCACGUGGUGUCGUUUGAUAACUACCAGCUGAUGCAGGUUGUAUGAACAACUGAUGUAGUGAAAGAAACAAGAAACAAACCAGCUGCAAAUAAUGAGGCAGCGAAUUCGAUAAACGGAGAAACAAACGAAAGAUGACGUUUUCAUUCUCGAUGAAAAUCAACUUUGACACCGCCUGUAUAUGAGGCGGUGAGUAGGAAGAAAUAUCUUUGACUUGGCUUCUCAUGUUGAGCCAUCAACUUUUACAUCGACGACGUUCAUUCUAAUGAUGAACAUUUUCAACAACAGCGACAUAGGUUAUGCUGACUUUGCGUUUCGACAAGUUUGCAGAGUGCAAACUCUCACAACUACGCAGCAAAUUAUCUGCUGUUAGAAUGUAUUUUAUUUGACAGAAGUAACAUCAGUUACUCAAUUGUAUUUUUGACUUGAUAUACUCCGUUUAUUGACAAAUGCUGAAAUUCUCAGCUGAAACUUUGUAUUUAUUCUUCCGACUUUCAUGUUUCCACACGUGACUCGACUUAUCGACAUUGUAAUUUUUAUAAUUACGUAAAAACACAAUGACCGACCGAAAGGUGGCAAAAUAACGACAACACCAGAAAGGGUGUUUGAAAUCGUGUUGUAACAUGUUCUUGUUGUUGUGUGAUUGUUUUGUAGUUUUUGACGAAAGCUCGACAUAUGUUAAGGUAAUAAAAUACAGCCCAA